rnacentral:tRNA from 1 species
GGGGAUUUGGCUCAGUGGUAGAGCACUUGCCUAGGAAGCGCAAGGUCCUGGGUUCAAUCCCCAGCCCCCA